GACGAACGCUGGCGGCGUGCCUAAUACAUGCAAGUAGAACGCUGAAGAGAGGAGCUUGCUCUUCUUGGAUGAGUUGCGAACGGGUGAGUAACGCGUAGGUAACCUGCCUUGUAGCGGGGGAUAACUAUUGGAAACGAUAGCUAAUACCGCAUAACAAUAGGUGACACAUGUCAUUUAUUUGAAAGGGGCAAUUGCUCCACUACAAGAUGGACCUGCGUUGUAUUAGCUAGUAGGUGAGGUAACGGCUCACCUAGGCGACGAUACAUAGCCGACCUGAGAGGGUGGUCGGCCACACUGGGACUGAGACACGGCCCAGACUGCUACGGGAGGCAGCAGUAGGGCAUCUUCGGCAAUGGGGGCAACACUGACCGCGCAACGCCGCGUGAGUGAAGAAGGUUGUCGGGUCGUAAAGCUCUGUUGUAAGUCAAGAACGAGUGUGAGAGUGGAAAGUUCACACUGUGACGGUAGCUUACCAGAAAGGGACGGCUAACUACGUG
rnacentral:rRNA from 1 species